CCUGGAGGCAUCCAAUGCUCUGGAGAGCCAGACAUGAGCCACCCAGGAGAUCCUGCUCUGCCCAGGGGAUGGUUGGCUCAAGUCCGCAGGUUCACCAAUGGAAUCCUGUUGAGGACGAGAAGAAAAAGAAAGAUUAAGUCACGACAGGGAAUUUGCACCAAGUCUUGCAUCACUGCUUGGAUGAUUUCCCACA